AUUUGCUCCUCUUACAGAAAAACUACCGGCCUUUGUCUUUCUAGUGUAAUGGAAACCAAGUAUAUGUUAUUUAUUUCCAGAGUUGGAAGCCCAAUAAUACAAAACUCGAAGUGGAGUCAAGGGUACUUCAGCUGUAAAUGUAAAUCAGCCUCUGCCUUCCUGUACAACUUACCACACCUUUUUUCUCAUGUUUUAGGUACAUUGCUCCAGCUUCCUCUCAGUUCUGCACCAGAAGGCUGGGGUACAGCGCAUAUGCAAAUGGUGUCAGCUCAUCUGCUGCUUGGCAGACGGUGAGUUAAGAUUGCUAUUCAUCGCCCAGCGAAGGCACCGUCUGCUUUCCCCCUCGCUGACCUUUCUGCUGAAACAGAUGCAGCGGCUCCGUGAAUUUGGAUGUGGCUCUGCACAUACCGAGGCACUCCGGCAGCUCUCAGCAGCCCUUUGUAAUACCGCUUUAUUUUAUUUUU